rnacentral:ncRNA from 1 species
GGAUCGAGUGGCACGCGGUGGGACGCGCGCCGAGAAUGGAUCCGAUUGACUGUCAUCACUGACGCGCCGGCGGCUGUGGCCCCCGACAGCCGGUCCG